CUUGCUUCUCUUGAGAGCGGCGGACGGGUGAGUAAUGCCUAGGAAUCUGCCUGGUAGUGGGGGAUAACGUUCGGAAACGGACGCUAAUACCGCAUACGUCCUACGGGAGAAAGCAGGGGACCUUCGGGCCUUGCGCUAUCAGAUGAGCCUAGGUCGGAUUAGCUAGUUGGUGGGGUAAUGGCUCACCAAGGCGACGAUCCGUAACUGGUCUGAGAGGAUGAUCAGUCACACUGGAACUGAGACACGGUCCAGACUCCUACGGGAGGCAGCAGUGGGGAAUAUUGGACAAUGGGCGAAAGCCUGAUCCAGCCAUGCCGCGUGUGUGAAGAAGGUCUUCGGAUUGUAAAGCACUUUAAGUUGGGAGGAAGGGUUGUAGAUUAAUACUCUGCAAUUUUGACGUUACCGACAGAAUAAGCACCGGCUAACUCUGUGCCAGCAGCCGCGGUAAUACAGAGGGUGCAAGCGUUAAUCGGAAUUACUGGGCGUAAAGCGCGCGUAGGUGGUUUGUUAAGUUGGAUGUGAAAUCCCCGGGCUCAACCUGGGAACUGCAUUCAAAACUGACUGACUAGAGUAUGGUAGAGGGUGGUGGAAUUUCCUGUGUAGCGGUGA
rnacentral:rRNA from 1 species